rnacentral:rRNA from 1 species
UACGGGGGGGGCAAGCGUUGUUCGGAAUUACUGGGCGUAAAGGGCUUGUAGGUGGCCAACUAAGUCAGACGUGAAAUCCCUCGGCUUAACCGGGGAACUGCGUCUGAUACUGGAUGGCUUGAGUGUGGGAGAGGGAUGCGGAAUUCCAGGUGUAGCGGUGAAAUGCGUAGAUAUCUGGAGGAACACCGGUGGCGAAGGCGGCAUCCUGGACCGGCAUUGACGCUGAGGCGCGAAAGCCAGGGGAGCAAACGGG